GGGGAAGUCCGGUGAGAGUCCGGCCCUGUCGCGCAACGGUAACCCUGCCCCCUCAUCACAUGAUGGGCGGCGGGGAAGGCCGAGCACCC
rnacentral:ncRNA from 1 species